GAUGAACGCUGGCGGCGUGCCUAAUACAUGCAAGUCGAGCGAACAGACGAGGAGCUUGCUCCUCUGACGUUAGCGGCGGACGGGUGAGUAACACGUGGAUAACCUACCUAUAAGACUGGGAUAACUUCGGGAAACCGGAGCUAAUACCGGAUAAUAUAUUGAACCGCAUGGUUCAAUAGUGAAAGACGGCUUUUCUGUCACUUAUAGAUGGUUCCGCGCCGCAUUAGCUAGUUGGUAAGGUAACGGCUUACCAAGGCAACGAUGCGUAGCCGACCUGAGAGGGUGAUCGGCCACACUGGAACUGAGACACGGUCCAGACUCCUACGGGAGGCAGCAGUAGGGAAUCUUCCGCAAUGGGCGAAAGCCUGACGGAGCAACGCCGCGUGAGUGAUGAAGGUCUUCGGAUCGUAAAACUCUGUUAUUAGGGAAGAACAAAUGUGUAAGUAACUAUGCACGUCUUGACGGUACCUAAUCAGAAAGCCACGGCUAACUACGUG
rnacentral:rRNA from 1 species